AGAAAUAUAAUAGAUUGUAAGAUUUUUAUAUACUUCGAGGAUACGUUUCUUCUCAUGCUUAACCUAAAAGAAAGAUGGAAAUCACAUGAGUUACAGAUAAACACAACAGCAAUACAAAUAAAUUAUACGAGGCAAAGAUGAUGAGUGGAUGAGCACCUCCUCUGAGAGUCAUCCAAGAGUUAGUCAAAGUCUUCUUGGCUUCAUCCCAAAGCGCAGCCUCCCCCUGUCAUCUCCUCUUCCCUGGUGCAGGUCCCAUCCCACCCUCCUUCCCUAUAUAACAUGAACGAGGCCUUCGCCAAUCGUCACAGGCAAUCCACCAUGGCCUCCCGAAACCUCUCCUCCCUCCUCCUCGUCGUCCUCCUCGUCUUCGCCUUCUCUGCCGGCUCCCACGCCGGCAGCAUCGCCGUGUACUGGGGCCAGAACGGCAACGAGGGCGGCCUUGCCGACACCUGCAACACCGGCAUCUACUCGUACGUGAUGCUGGCUUUCCUCACCACCUUCGGCAACGGGCAAACCCCCGUCCUCAACCUGGCGGGCCACUGCGACCCCCCCUCCGGCACCUGCACGAGCCUCAGCUCCGACAUCCGCGCCUGCCAGUCCCAGGGCAUCAAGGUGCUCCUCUCCCUCGGUGGCGGCUCCGGCAGCUACUCCCUGUCCUCCUCCGACGACGCCGCGAGCGUGGCAACGUACCUAUGGGACAACUACCUGGGCGGCUCGUCCAGCUCGCGCCCGCUGGGCGACGCCGUCCUCGACGGCAUCGACUUCGACAUCGAGCAGGGCGGCCCCGACCACUACGACGAGCUGGCGAAGCAGCUCUACGACUUUGGUAAUCAGGCGGGGACCAAGGUGUACCUCUCGGCGGCGCCGCAGUGCCCCUACCCGGACCAGUACGUGGGUAACGCGCUGCAGACGGGGCACUUCGACUACGUGUGGGUGCAGUUCUACAACAACCCCAGCUGCGACUACUCGUCGGGGGUCAGCGGCCUGAGCAGCGCAUGGGGGACGUGGACAUCGAGCUUGUCGUCAUCGGCCGUCUUCCUGGGGCUGCCGGCCUCGACGGACGCGGCCGGGAGCGGGUACAUCCCGCCCGACGACCUCACCAACCAGGUGCUGCCGGCUAUCAACACUGCGUCCAACUACGGCGGCAUCAUGCUGUGGAGCAGAUACUACGAUCUCAACAGCGGGUACGGCGCCGCCGUGAGGAACAGUGUUUGAGAUGGCGAUGUACUAACUACCAGAUGUGUGCUUCCGAUUACGAUGUCAUGAAUAAGGCGGGACACUGAUAGAAACGUCUUCCUGAUUGAUGUGACGUUGCGUCCCAAUAAAAUAAAGAUUGCGUGUUUUUAUGGAGACAUUGAUGUAGUCAAUGUAAUAAUACAUAAGUGAUAUAUCUUAAAUUGAAAUUUAGCUGUGAGCAUCAGAUUUGGUGGGUUCAUGAGUAUCAUGUCCGUUAUUUAUAGUCCUAUUUUUUUUUUAUAAAAAUAUAUAUAUAAAAAAUUAAAAUAAAGUAUGCUUGAGAAGUGAAAUAAUUAAAAUAAACCCAUAGACGGACCAUGAAAGGUGGUGUAUUGAUGACAAUUGAUGCAAUUCAUGAAUUGAUGGCUAUGUUAAGUAAGAGACAUGUUUGUAUAUUAUAAACAGCAGGUUUUUCUCGCAUCUAAUAAAAACAUUCUAUAUGCUGAUCACAUUGAAAUAAACUUUAUAUAUAAACAAUGGAAAAUUAAUAGUCAGGGGAUUAUAUUUUUAAUUAUUUGUUCUGUAAGCUCUUCUUCAUAUUCGUUUCUUUGAUCAUGCAAGUCAUAGUUUGGUCAGAGAAGACGUGCUUUGUCCACAAAAAAGAAAAUUGAGGAUGUGUAGGCCUUCACCUUUAAAAUACUUGUUCUCAACAUAAUAAAAAUACUUGUCCUGUAUGCACAACUAUUUUUAUUGGAGCAUUUUAUAUUCCUCCACUUAUAUUCAAUCGUCGUUGGAUUUGUCACUAUAAUCCCUAAUCUUUGUUGUCUCUUCGGUCAUCACCUCCUAUUGCUAUACCUUUGCCUCCGUCACCAUCGCUCCGACCCUCGACCACCAUCAGCCUAAUGGGUCAUAUGCCCCUCAUUUUUGAAUUGAUGUUCAUGUUGCCGUGAAUGUAUCAUGUGACAAAUCAAUUGCAGUAGGUUUGCAUGAACCUCACCAUAUAUGUUGCUUGCUAUGAGCCCAGUGCGACGCCCAUUCAUCCUAAAUUAUAGGAGUGAGAAUUAUAUUAUUUUCCAUGAGAUUGUUGUUUGCCGAGUGUUGCGUAAGGUCAUUUGAGGAUCCCUCGUGGUUGUCUGAUGAGAUAGUUAGUGUGGCAUCGAGGAAUAUGAGGUGGUUUCGGAGGAUCCAAGAUAGACUUCGAUCUUCCCAAGUUCCUACACAAAGGUUAGUGUUGGGAGAAUUUUCCAACCUGACUCAUCCGAUGUUUAAGUUAGUUUUGUGGAGUUGUGUGAGGUAUAAAGAAUUUUUUUAAAGAGAGGUCCGACCCUUAAGCAAGUGUCGGGGGCUGACUUUUAUACCUGGGCGAUCAAGGGGAUCGUUUGUAACUAUCGCAAUGCCCUUCGCAUAGCAUUUUAUCUAUGUGAGCAAAAGGCUCGAAUAACCUUCUACGGGUUGUCAUCUACAAAUGCCAAUUAAGUGGAGACAUAUCCAAAGGAUCACCCGGGGACCAUUAUCCUUGAUGAUCGAUAAAAUUAGUCGAAACAGUCUCCUGUGAACUAUUAUCCAUGAGGAUUCGAUAGGUGCCACACAAUACUAUUGAGUCGGGAGGUGAUUUACCCUUACCUUCGAUGUCGACAUCUAGAUGGCGAUCAACUAUAAAGCUAGUUUUGUCAUCAGAAUAUUUCCUUGCAAGAACCUGACGUAAGAUAGGAAGCUUUUAACUCUAUCAAUAUUUUAUUAUCAUGAACUUACCUUAAUUUAUCUAAACCAUAUAUAUCACAUUCAUGCUAAGGGUUAAUCUUUCAAUCUGAAAAAAUAGAUAGUGACAUGUGAAUGCACUAUAAUAGUUACUUGGCUUAAAGCAUAAACUAAGACUGCACUAGCAUCAUCAAAUAAAAUAAUUUAGUGGCAUGCUGUCACGCAUGCUCGAUAGCUUCAUGUUCUUUUUACUAGAACAAAAAAUACAUUGCUUUAAAACUAUGGAACAAACUGAGUUGCUAAUGGACCCGUAGCAACAAACAAAUUAAAAGUAGAUAUCAGUGAUCUGCCAAAUACUAAUACUAAUACUAGAGCAAUUGACAGCCUCCAAGAGAGUUGGUGUUGAGCUCAAUAGAAGGGAGCUGUAGGAAUUGAACUGCUUUCAUUGCUUCAUGUUGGAUCUUCUAAUAUGUAUAGACUUGGAGAAAGAAAAACGAGGAUGAUGCGAGCCAAAGAUUAAUGAACUUUAGAUGAAUAGACUAAGACAUGGAAGAAUAAAUGAGAUAGAGAUCGGCGAAGCACCACAAAAGUGAUGGGAUAAAAAGAGAAUUUUGUAUAUGAACAAAUAAAAAUAGAUCGUAAUAUGUAGUGGAAUUAAAUGAAAAUCAUAAUUAAAUUGAACAUCAAGAUUUAUAUGAAAAAUCCUUCAAACGUGAAGGGUAAAAACCAUAUGGUAAAAUAGAGAAGUGUGCUUCCGAUUACGAGGUCAUGAAUAAGGCGAGACAGUGAUAGAAACCAAGUAGAAAAUCUUGAUUUAUAAAAAAAAAAUUUAAGUUAUAAUUCCAAGAAACCAAGAGAAACCAUGAUUCAUUUUAACAAAUCUCCUCUUAAAUAAAUAAUGAAAAGAAUUCUUAGAAAAUCAUGAUAUAAAUAAAAUUCAUUCAAUCUUAUAGGAGAAUAAGAUAUGCAUAUAAAAUCUCUCAAUUCAUUAUGAAUCAUAAAAAUUAUAAUUCUAAAAAAUUAUAAUUCAUUUAGGAAAUUUUCUUCUUUAGUAAACGGUAAAAAGAAAUAUGGGAGUUCAAAAAACAAGAUCUUGAUUNNNNNNNNNNNNNNNNNNNNNNNNNNNNNNNNNNNNNNNNNNNNNNNNNNNNNNNNNNNNNNNNNNNNNNNNNNNNNNNNNNNNNNNNNNNNNNNNNNNNNNNNNNNNNNNNNNNNNNNNNNNNNNNNNNNNNNNNNNNNNNNNNNNNNNNNNNNNNNNNNNNNNNNNNNNNNNNNNNNNNNNNNNNNNNNNNNNNNNNNNNNNNNNNNNNNNNNNNNNNNNNNNNNNNNNNNNNNNNNNNNNNNNNNNNNNNNNNNNNNNNNNNNNNNNNNNNNNNNNNNNNNNNNNNNNNNNNNNNNNNNNNNNNNNNNNNNNNNNNNNNNNNNNNNNNNNNNNNNNNNNNNNNNNNNNNNNNNNNNNNNNNNNNNNNNNNNNNNNNNNNNNNNNNNNNNNNNNNNNNNNNNNNNNNNNNNNNNNNNNNNNNNNNNNNNNNNNNNNNNNNNNNNNNNNNNNNNNNNNNNNNNNNNNNNNNNNNNNNNNNNNNNNNNNNNNNNNNNNNNNNNNNNNNNNNNNNNNNNNNNNNNNNNNNNNNNNNNNNNNNNNNNNNNNNNNNNNNNNNNNNNNNNNNNNNNNNNNNNNNNNNNNNNNNNNNNNNNNNNNNNNNNNNNNNNNNNNNNNNNNNNNNNNNNNNNNNNNNNNNNNNNNNNNNNNNNNNNNNNNNNNNNNNNNNNNNNNNNNNNNNNNNNNNNNNNNNNNNNNNNNNNNNNNNNNNNNNNNNNNNNNNNNNNNNNNNNNNNNNNNNNNNNNNNNNNNNNNNNNNNNNNNNNNNNNNNNNNNNNNNNNNNNNNNNNNNNNNNNNNNNNNNNNNNNNNNNNNNNNNNNNNNNNNNNNNNNNNNNNNNNNNNNNNNNNNNNNNNNNNNNNNNNNNNNNNNNNNNNNNNNNNNNNNNNNNNNNNNNNNNNNNNNNNNNNNNNNNNNNNNNNNNNNNNNNNNNNNNNNNNNNNNNNNNNNNNNNNNNNNNNNNNNNNNNNNNNNNNNNNNNNNNNNNNNNNNNNNNNNNNNNNNNNNNNAUAUAUAUAUAUAUAUAUUGGCACCUUCGUUGGUUGGCAACUUCAAUAGUAUGAUUGGCUGUCUACUAUGUUUAUGUACCAUUUUAGGUUCAUGCAUUCUCAUGUCAUUUUAUUUUCUGAAUCGAUUUAAAUAAAUUUUGGAUAUACAUAUUUAUUCAAUAUUCAUGCAUAUUAUUUUGGAUAAUGUCUACUUUAUUCAUGAAUAAAGUGGAUAAUAAGUCUAGUUCAUGCAUAUCAAUUUAUAUCCAAAAUAAUGUGCAUGAACCGAUAAAUACUCCUCACAUUAUUUAUUUUAUUCAUAAAUAUUAUUUUAAAUAUAAAUUUAAAGUUUUGGCUCAUGGUCUUGUUGGGAAAUCUAGGGUACGAGAUUACAUGUGCAACGGAAGAACAAAAAAUAAAAUCUCUAAUAUUUUUUAAUAAUAUAUUCGUUGUUAUGCGAAGAUUUGUGUGCAAAAUACACGAAAAAGAAAAUCACGUGUGAGAUAGUUGUGUUACCUAGGGAGAUCGUAUAUCCCCCCUACAGAUUUGUAGAAGUGGAUGAAUGAGGUCAAGCGUUCUCCGCUCUAGAGGUGAUUACAUAGUAGGACUGCGACGCUUCUCAAAUCUCUAAGCCUACUAUUUGAGGAGGAGAAAAAGAGAGGAGAAUAGGAGGUGACUACCUAAGAGGAGAAUAGCAGAGUGGUAGUGGAGAAGAUAGUUGUCGUUCACCGAGGAGGAAAGAUUUAUGCCACAGCAAAAGGGAACGGACAUUGGUGCAGUGGAGAAGAUAGUUGCCAUUCACCGAGGAGGAAAAAUUUAUCGCACCGAUAACCUGACGAUGGAAAAGCAGUAGUAGAAAGCUUUUUCUUUUACCGUCGGAGGUGGAGAAGCAACAGAUGAGUCAACAACGAGAAGAGAGCUUGCUCUAGGCAAGUGGCUCUGAUACCAUGAUAGAAAUAACAGAAGAUAAGAACAAUAAUUGAAGAAGUAGCUUUAGCUUGAAUACAUUAACAUGUCCCUCUCAUUAUGAGAGAGGAUUUUCCAGAUACGCAGUAACCUUCUUACGAGUGCCGGAUUUAUCACAGAAUAAUAUGAAAUUAAAAUUGGUAAUAUACUAAUAUCCCUGAAAUCCUACUUCUACGAGUAUUCCGUGCGUGCCUCUCAUACGCGGUGAGGUGGCAGCCGAUGCCACAUUUGCAUUUACUCCAGAAACUCCGAUAGAUACAAUCAAAGCGCGUAAAGGUUUAUAGUACCAAAACAAGUUCUGCGUCCGCCAUAGGUUCCUUUCCGCAUCUUUGAACCGUUGAUUGGGCAUCAGAGGGCGAGGCGCGGCGGCAGACGCCGGGCCCAGCGUGACCCACACACGUGCGACAGACAAAAGGCCAAUCGCUGGGUAGGGCGGAGUGGAGGUAGAACACGACUAAUGGUGACUUGGACGAGGCUCAGGACCACGUGGUUCAACGAAUCUAAAUAUCUAAAUGGGCCGUGGGUCGCGUGAUGGAACGAGCUCCAUCACUGCCGUUGAUGGUAUCUACAAUCAAGGAACCCGUGAUCAGAUCCGUAAACGGGGACCGUCCAAUAAUACUUCUACAUAGAUCUUGAUCAGGUCUCUGCAAAUUUCUCCCAAUCAAUCACCCAAAUACGUCGAUCUGUCUCAAAGCCGAUGUAAACAAUAGUAUUUAUGAAUGAGAAAAUCAUGAAUUUUACCUAUGACCUAAACCAAAUUGGAUUCGCAUAAUUACGACUCGAGGCACAACUCCAAUCAGUAGCGAUAGUGUCUGCAUAUUUAUUUGAUUAGAAAAAGACCACAACGUGCAUUUUUAUUUGAUUUUAAUAAGAAGCUACUCGAAGCAUCAAGAUCAAGAAGGUGUGAUUUAAAGUCACGAUAGGAAGCACGGUGAGCCCCGGCUUGGUUGACCCCAGUGGACCCUACUUGGAAACUCGAGUCUGUCUGUCUCACGCGCAAUUAGCCACAGCGAUAAGAAACGAUAUUUGCAUGUUAUCUAUCGAUGAACAGUGCUUCUCGUACAAUAAUUGUGACCGUCGGGGGACGUCGUCACAUGGCAUGCACGUGAGUCAUGAAGACGUUUUUAUUUGAAUAGUUUUCCUCUGUUGUGAUCCCUCCAUUUCAUUCGAUGAAGUCCAAUGCAUCAACCAUCAUGCCUCCAUCGCACCCUUUGUUGGUGUUGGUGUCGCAAUCCACCAGUUGUUGCUCUGACAAGGAGAUAAGCUCGUUGGUUCUGAUCUGGUUUAUUCCCUCCACCGAAACUACUGUCGAGAAGGCCCAGCAACUUCCUGCAACAAUUCAUACUAAAUUUUCAUUUAUUUCGAUCGAGCACAUCAACAAAAAAAUAUAAUAUUUCGAGCUCACCGCAUUUGCCUUGGUCUUUGAUAGCAGUGACGGCACCCUUCUGCCUCCAGUCGACGGUGGGAGUUACAUUGGUGACGUUCUUGUAUAAGAAGUACCCUUCGAGGUUCGCGCUUCCUCUGAGAGUGCUGCGGCGACGAAUCCUCGUCCCUGCGUACGUCCUCUUGAACUCCUCCCUCGCCGUAUCGCCGAACUUGUUGAGGCUAAGCUUGUAAGGCUUGGCUUUCUUGUUGGACGCGAACACGUAGUUAGCGUUCUCUUUAAAAACAUCAAAGCGGAUGCGCUUCUCGUCGACGCUGCGUGACACGCCAUGGUGGCUCUGCCACCUCUCGUACAAGUCCAAGAGCUUAUCCUCCGACGCGAUGUCGAUGUCAUCCCCAACGAUGGGCAAGCCGGAGAAUGCUACCGCAACGAGAAAGGCAGCGAACAAGAAUCCUCUCCCCAUGGUGGUGAACGAGGAGAAACCAAAAACAGGAUGGAAGUAGGUUUAUGGUUCGAAGGAGGUAUCUAUAGAGAUGUUGGGAGUGAAGCAUGACGACUGGGCGGUUAGGAGAUUAGGGCAUGGGCAUGGGAGAGGCUCAUUUUACGUAACUGUUAUUGGCAUCUUCUUAAGCGAUGCAUGCAUGCAUGCAUACGUCGAAAAGGUAUCCUCUUCGGGUAGUUUGAUGUGCAUGGGUUCGGGCAGAAGCUUCCAAGCCAAUAUGGGAGAAGAGUGUGUAGUCCUAUAGAAAUGGGAACUGUGAGGUUGGAUAUCCAAAUCGCAAUUAGCGUUUGAUUAGGGAAAGAGAUGGAUAUUAUGAAGCCUCAUAUAGCUCGAUGAAUUAUAUUGAUCAAAAUGUAGCAUAAAUAAGACUAAAGAUUUUUACAGGACUGCUUCACGGAUGCUUUCUGGGGCAGGUUAUAGCCACUAUGAGAUCAGUAGCUACUGCAAGGAUCGGUAUGAGUGCAAGCACAAUCUCACCUACUGGCUGAACAGAUCUUUCUAUGGAUUUGGCCUUGGAUCUGCAAGCUACAUCAAUGACAUGAGGUUUUCAAGGCCAAGAAGAUUGAAGGAGUACGAGGAAUGGGUGCACAAGUUGGAAGAUGGAUUGGUAGUGCUUCAUGAGGACAUCAGUGUCGACACAAAGGACAUGUCAAUGGAUGUUGUGAUGCUGUCCUUGAGAACGGCAAAAGGUCUUGACCUGAGGGGCUUUGCAAAAUGCUUUGGGAAGAGCCUGGCACGCUCUUUGUGCCAAGCCUUGAGGCAGUAUGUAGAGAGUGGGCAUGUGGUUGUCAUGGAUGAUGAUAGAAAUACGUUGUCUUACCCUGAGUUUGAGUUGAAGAUGAGUGAGGAUAAUGAUGAAAUGGGUAAUGGAGUUGCAUCCAUUCGGCUCAGUGAUCCAGAUGGUUUCCUCCUGUCUAAUGAGUUGAUAUCCAUUGCAUUUGGAAUUAUAUCUCCAUAAUAUCCUGUGAGACUUUCGAAACUCAUCUGUUGUUUACAGCAAUGUUUUAAUCAUGUCCAAAUCUAUCAAUUGAAAUAUAGUUUUUCCCGCAUUGUUUAACCAGAAUUCACAUUUGCAUUAUAGAGAGGAAAAGCAAAAGUGUGUAUAUAAAAUUUUCCAAAUGCAUUAUCGAAAUAUAAUCUUUUUCCUCAUUGUUUAAUCAGAAUUCACAUAUGCAUUUUGCCUGAUGUUCCUGAUUUUUCUCUUUCAAAGAACUUAAUGGCAGUUUAUUUGCAGAAUUUAUUAUGCUUUUCAUUGUUAGGUUUGCAUUCUUGAACUCAACAUCGAAGUAUUAUGUGGAAAUUUCUAGACUUUUGACUUACACCAAUUCCUGAUCAAUGUCUAAAAAAUAUUUUUCGAUGUAUGAUUUUUCUUGAGAGGUCUUUAAUAUUGGAAACCAUUUUUUUUUUUCUGUAAAUAACUGUUAUGAAGUGAGCAUGUGAAUGAUGCAGUAGCUUUUUGCAAGUUUAAUCAAGCAUUGACAGGAUGUUUGAGCAUCCUGCCGCGUUUCUUUCUUAGUUUUUUUAAAAAAUGUAGUUUUCUUCGAAAAUGAAUUCUUUUAGUAAGGUUUCUAAUGAUUCUGUUAUCCUUUUUCGGAAAUUUUAAGAUCUCCUAGAGUAUGCUUGGUUCAGUGUUGGAAUAAUUUGGUAUAAGUUAUCCUAAGCCAGUUACAAUUUUAGUCCUCUGAAAGAGCAUCAUUCUUGUUGAGCUACAUAAGGAUAGUUUUCCUCUGUUGUGAUCCCUCCAUUUCUUUCGAUGAGGUCGAAUGCAUCAUCCAUCAUAUCCCGCUCAUUUCUAAUCCAGCCCGAAUCCAGCGCACCUACCUACGAUCCAACCACUGCUGCAACAAGUGCCGCCCGAUCGGGCUCACACGAUACCCCCAGAGCUCCCCGCGUCGCUUCAGGUUCGACCGGCCCCGCUGGAAGAUCGAGCGAUGGGAAACUCGAGCACCCGCCUGGAGCCCGAGGUGUUAUCUUCAGAUUCAAUGGCCUGCUUGCCUGAGUCGUGCUCCUCGACUGCAUGUUGCCCGAGACCACCUUUGCGCGGCCUGCCAGCCUGAGUCGUGCUCCUUGACUGCAUGUUACCCGAAACCACAUCUGCGCGACCUGCCCGAUUGAGUUGUGCUCCUCGGUUGCAUGUUGCCCGAGACCACCUCUGCGCGGCCUGCCCNNNNNNNNNNNNNNNNNNNNCAUGUUGCCCGAGACCACCUCUACUCGGCCUGCCCGUUUGAGUCGUGCUCCUCGGCUACAUGUUGCCCGAGACCACCUUUGCUUGGCCCGCCCGACUGAGUCGUGCUUCUCGGUUGCACAUUGCCCGAGACCAUCGCUGCGCCCCCAGCUCUCCUCGAUUGCUAAACUCCACGAUUCCCACACCCUUGGUAACGGACCGGCUACCGCCCGACAGGGACAAUUUCUUAAAGCUGAAGCCAUGCCUCGGACCCCCCCCCUUACAACAACCAACGCAUAGCUUCCUUCGGGGGGGGGGGGGGGGAUAUGAUAAGGGCAAUAAUGGCGAUGGGAUGAGGGUUAACGUUAGCUGUGCCCGGAUGACGCCUCGGUUGACCUAACAGCACUUGACCAAAACAUACUGGAACGUCGACCGAGGCAUAUUAACAUCCUGCGCGAGCCCGGUCCUUCACGCCAUGCCAACACUGGUGUCAGACGUUACCAGGAGUAUGAUCAUGCUCCCUGCAAGCGGGCACAUCAGGCAACGGUAACCUUCCCUAUAAAAACCCUUGCGCUCAGAAAGAGUGGAGGAGAAUCAUGUGAGAAAAACUCCCUGUGACCGUUCACUCACUUGAUCGUCGGAGGGGUCGGGUCGAGCCUCCCGACCUAACCUGUGCGCAAGGACGAAGACGGAGCGCCUCCCACCGCGUGCCCAGGCGAAGAGUUCCCUUCCAGAGGAAACGGUUGUCCCGUCGCGAUCGGACCACCGUAGUCGGCCACCUCAACAGUCUCAAGGGUCGCCCAGGAAGAUCCCUAAUCAUUCGGACCCGAACCAAGUCACGUUGGCCCCGAGGCCACGACUUAAGGUUGUUAACACCAACAAGAUAUACAAAUCAUGAAGACAAAUUGUGAAUAUUAAGAGACAUAUUGUGUUUCUGUUUCGAUAACUCAAAUUGAGAAAAGAAAGAAUCAUAGUAGACAAUCUUGAUUUAUAAAAAAAAUUUUAAGUUAUAAUUAUAAGAAAUCAAGAGAAACCAUGAUUCAUUUUAACAAAUCUCCUCUUAAAUAAAUAAUAAAAAUAAUUCUUAGAAAAUCAUGAUAUAGAUAAAAUUCAUUCAAUCUUAUAGGAGAAUAAGAUAUGCAUAUAAAAUUUCUCAAUUUAUUAUGAAUCAUAAAAAUUAUAAUUCUGAAAAAUCAUGAUUCAUUUAGAAAAUUUUAAACGAUCAAAAGAAAUAUGGGAGUUCAAAAAAUAAGAUAUUGAUUCAUAAACAAUUUCAAGUCAAGUCAUAAAUCACGAGAAAUCAAGAUAAAGCUCAUUCAAAUUAUUAUGAUCCUUUUUCGAUAACUCAACUCAAAUCAGAUUGAUGUGACGAUGUGUCCCAAUAAAAUAAAGAUUGCGUGUUUUUAUGGAGGCAUUGAGGUGGUCAGUGUAAUAAAUAAUACAUAAGUGAUAUAUCUUAAAUUUAAAUUUAGAUGUGAGCAUCAUAUUUGGGUACAUGAGUAUCAUGUCCUUUAUUUAUAGUACUAAUUUUUUUUAUAUAUAAAUAAAAAAAAUAUAUAUAAAGUAUGGUUGACUCGUGAAAUAAUUAUUCAGCAAAUAUUCAUGAAUUGAUGGCUACGUUCAUUAAGAGACAAGUUUGUAUAUUAUAAACAGCAGGUUUUUCUCGUUUCUAAUAAAAACAUUCUAUAGGCUGAUCGCAUUGAAAUAAACUUUAUAUAUAAACAAUGGAAUUAUAUUUUUAAUUAUUUGUUCUGUAAGCUCUUCUUCAUAUAUUCGUUUCUUUGAUCAUGCAAGACAUAGUUUGGUCAGAGAAGACGUACUUUGUCCGCAAAGAAGAAACUCGAGGAUGUGUAGGCCUUCCUUCACCUUUAAAAUAAAUGUUCUCGACAUAAUAAAAAUACUUGUCCAGUAUGCACAUCUAUUUUUAAUAAAGCAUUUUAUACGAGAAAGCUUUCACUAUUAGACUUUUAUUAAAUAGAAAAUGUUCAUGUUAGGUUAGGGUCCGAAUAAAUUGAGGUUCACCCAACAAAAUAAUGACUCGUCUAAGUCUGGACCGUUGCCGUGAAUGUAUAAUGGGACGAAUCAAUUGCAAUGGGUUUGCUUGAAGCUCACCAUAUAUGUUGCUUGCUGUCAGCCCAGUGCGACGCUCAUUAAUCAUAAAUUAUAGGAGUGAGAAUUAUAUUAUUCCCCAUGAGAUUGUCAUUACCAACGAUAUUGUUGUUUGCUGGGUGUUACGGUUUGAUCUUGUCUCGAAGACGUAAGGUCAUUUGAGGAUCCCUCGUGGUUGUUUAGCAAGGGAGCUGGUGUGGCAUCGAUGAAUCUGAGGUGGUUUUUGAGGAUUCGGGAUGGACUUCGAUCUUUUCAGGUUCCUACACAAAGUUUAGUGUCAGGCGGAGUUUCCCGACCGUGAUGUUCAAGUUAGUUUUAUGGAGUUGUGUGAGGUAUAAAGGGUUUUUGUGAAUAAUAUAAUUAAAAGUAGAUAUCUGUGAUCUGCCAAAAUUCAACUGCUUGGUUCCACUUGCAUCAAGUGUGUCAAAAAGGGCAAAACUAAUACUAGAGCAAUUGACAGCCUCCAAGAGAGUUGGUGUUGAGCUCAAUAGAAGGGAGCUGUAGGAAUUGAACUGCUUUAGUAGCUUCAUGUUGGAUCUUCUACUAUGUAUAGACUUGGAGAAAGAAAAACGAGGAUGAUGCAAGCCAAAAUUAACGAACUUUAGAUGAAUAGACUAAGACAUGAGAGAAUAAAUGAGAUAGAGAAUUUUGUGUACCAACAAAUACAAGCAUAUCAUAAUACAUAGUAGAAUUAAAUGAAAAUUAUAAUCAAAUAAAACAUCAAAAUUUACGUGAAAAACUCCUUCAACAUGAAGGGUAAAAACCACAGGGUAAACAAGAGGAAAUGUACUAUAAAAAUAAUGAAUAUAUAAAUCUCAGAGUCUUUUGCCCAAAACCCAAGCAACAAUCACAAGAGAAUAAUUAUGAUAUAAGGAUUACGUCAUUGUGCAUAAUAUCCAAAAUCUCCUCAAGUGAUCACAACAGGAAUCUACAAUAAAUCUGAUCUAAUAUGAGAUCAGAACACUUAUUGGAUGAUUGAGAAUAGUCUCUACGUUGACCUUGUCUUCUUCCUUUUCCUUCUUCUCUUGUUUUUCUUUCCUCAACUGUCACUGUUGCAUCUCUCUUUUUUACAACCACCGUUGCCCUCUUUUUUUGCCUUAGCAACCAUACUUCUUGGUUAAAAGAGUUAGUAUUUUGGUUAAAAAAAAAGAGAGUUAAGACUAAAGUGGGUUGUGGGUAAUUAAAGCCUACUAUGAGUUGAAUAAUGAGUCAUCUGCCCAACAACCUCCCCCUUCGGCCCAUAAGGGAGGUUGUCUCAUAACUCCUCAAUGUAAAUUCAUACAAACUUUUGGUAUAUCUUUUGUCUUUCUUUUGGUAAGGUCUUUAUCAAUAUAUCUACUCCAUUAUCAUCUCUAUGAAUUUUCUAAAGUUGCAACUGCUUUUCUUCAAGUAAAUUUUGAAUCCAAUGAUACCUGACAUAUAUAUGCUUUGACUUGAAAUGAAAAGUUGGGUUCUUACACAAAUAGAUGACGCUCUUACUUUCACAAUACACUAUAUAGUUUUUCUUUUUCAGUCAUAAUUUUUGUAAGAAUUCUUUUAUCCAUGAUAUUUACUUACAAACCUCUAUAGUAGUAAUAUAUUCUGCCUUUAUGGUGAAGAGAGCAAUAUACCUUUGCAAUCUGGAUUGCCAUGACACAACUCUCAUUGCAAAAGUAAAUACAAAACCUAAUGUAGACUUCCUCGUAUCAAUAUCUAUUGUCAUAUCUGCAUCUGUGUAACCUGUCAACACUGAUUGUCCACCUCCAUAGCUUAAACAAAAUAAUGACUCAUCUAAGUCUGGAUUAUUGCCAUGAAUGUAUCAUGCAACAAAUCAAUUGCAUUGGGUUUGCUUGAAGCCCAUCAUAUAUAUAGCUUGCUGUUAGCCUAAUGCAACACUCAUUCAUCUUAAAUUAUAGGAGUGAGAAUUAUAUUAUUCCUCACGAGAUUGUCAUUAUCAAUUAUAUUGUUGUUGAUUGAGUGUUGUCAAUUGAUAGUCGGUAUGAUUUGGUCUUAUUCUAAAGUUGCAAGGUCGUCCGAGGAUCCCUCAUGGUUGUCUGGCGAGGUGGUUGGUGUGGUGCCGACGAAUCUAAGGUGGUUUCUGAGGAUCUAGGACGGACUUUGGUCUUCUUGGUGGGUUCAUGCACAAAGGUUAAUGUCGGGAGGAGUUUCCCGACUCGACUCGACCCCUUCGAUGCUCAAAUUAGCUUUGUAAAGUUGCAUGGGGUAUAAAGGAUUAUCUUCAAGAGAAGUCAAACCCUUGGAUAGGCAUAAGGGGUUGACUUUUAUACCAAGCGAUCGAGGGGUUCGUUUGUAACUGUUGUAAUGCCCUCCACAUAGCAUUUUGUCCACGUGAGCGAUAGGCUUGAAUGACCUUUUGCGGGUUGUCGUCCACAAAGGCCGAUUGAUUGGGGACAUAUAUGAAGGAUCACUCGGGGAUCACUAUCUUUAGUGACCAACAUGAUUUAUACAUGUCGGGGAUCACUAUCUGAAGGAUCACUCGGGGAUCACUAUCUUUAUUUAUACAUGUUAAAAGAGAGUAUUUCCUUGAUCAGCAAGAUUUUCUUGUAUAGUUGGGGAAAUAGAAUCUUCUAAUAUGUAUAGACUUUAGAUGAUGACAAUGAUCCUCUAAUAGAAAGAAAAAUGAGGAUGAUGUGAACUUUAGAUGAAUAGAAUAGGACUUGUGAGAAUAAAUGGGAUGGAGCUUGACGAAAUCUUCGCUUGGAUUACGAUCUUAUUCUAGAGACUUGAGCUCGAGGAGAAGGGUCCCAAACCUAACGACACAAUGUCGAUGCCUAUACGUAUUCUCCUCCGUAGAUCAUGACCCACGACCAACUCUUGACCGUGUUGUUGUUGAUGAGGGCUUGUCGUCAACGAAGCUCCGAGGUCAUCCUAAUAUUUUAAGAAGGUUCAGAUGACCUGGGAGACUUCCAUCUCUCUCUGUUUGUGUUGGAAUUCUAAUGUAAACCCUUAUGUCAGGAUUAAUACUUAUAAUAAACCUUACACGAAGUUGGCUCUUUCCUAAUCGCUUAAGGUUUUGAGACUAACUGUAUCGUGAUAUUAAAAUAUAUUCGAGUGUGAAAUUUACAGUCAUGGAGCAAAGAUGAUGAUCCUCGUGAGUUUCUUUGGUCUUAGCUUAGUGGCGAGGAGUCACAAUCGAUUAGGAAAUCUGCUAAGCUGGCGCCGGCCAUUGAUUGACACAUCGAUGGUGCGUCGAGUGGAGGAAGACUAAUAAGUUCGUGGUCGUUCCCAUGGCGCAGCGGAAACCGUGUGCAAGCAGGGUUGAAGAAGGUGAACACGUCUUUCUUCCCCCGUUAAUUUCGCUCACCGCAUGUUGCAAGCCAAAGAUCAAAGGACUUUACAUGAACAGAGCAAGGCAAUGAAGAAUUAAACGUGUGGCGAUUAAUAUACUCCAAGAACCUUUUUGUGCUAAGUUAGGUUCUGAUGGUGUGACAUGUGGACUCGAGAAAUCUGACUUAACAGCCACCCAACAUCUCGGACUGAGACGAAACCAAAAGUAUACAUCGAUUGGCUCCGAACCUUACUCACAUGUCACACCAUCAGAACCUAUGUUAGCACAAUAAAGUUACUGGAGUAUAUUAAUCGCCACACCUUUAAUUCUUCAAUGCCAUACUCUCUUCAUGUAAAGUCCUUUGAUCUUUGAACACCAACGCCAGCAUUUUCGCCUCCGUCGUUGUCCUUGUCCCACCGCCACCUCUAGGCUGCGUUGUUCCUGGCGAAGACUCAGUCGUAGGACCUUCUCGUGGUUCUCACCGGGUAGACUGACUUCACUUCCAUCCCUCUCUACGUGUUGGAAUUAUACAUCGGAUGCUCAUGCGUCAUUGCGAGGAUGAAUACUGACAAACCGAACACAUCGGCUGCGGUUGUUUAGGAUGAUGACCGACCCAUUUAUUCCCAGCAGCCUCACCUGCACGAGACUUCCUCGGAGUUUCCCUUCUGCAUUACGUCAAUGAAUUCAUCUCAAACUCAGUUCAAGAGUACCGGCAUACGCAUUAGAUUCGGAUGCCCGAAAAGAAUCGAUCUACCGCCAUCCUUAUCUCUGUCCUUGACGAUGUUUGCACAGAGACGACUCGAUCCCUCACAAGUCAAUUGACUCAGUUGGUCGCUGGUGCAUCGACCAUAGAGGAAGACCAAAUAAAUGAAGGCGUGAAUGAGGCGGUGGCAACCGUGCGCGAAGCAGACUCGAAGAAGUGUGCUCGCGGCGCAGCGUGUCACAGAAAUAUAUAGGUUGUAAGAUUUUAUAUACUUCGAGGAUACGUUUCUUCUCAUGCUUAACCUCAAAGAAAGAAGGAAAUCACAUGAGUUACAGAUGAACACAACAGCAAUACAAAUAAAUUAUACGAAGCAAAGAUGAUGAGUGGAUGAGCACUUCCUCUAAGAGUCAUCCAGGAGUUAGUCAAAGUCUUCUUGUCUUCAUCCCAAAGCGCAGCCUCCCCUUGUCAUCUUCUCUUCCCUGGUGCAGGUCCCAUCCCACCCUCCUUCCCUAUAUAACAUGAACGAGGCCUUCGCCAAUCGUCACAGGCAAUCCACCAUGGCCUCCCGUAACCUCUCCUCCCUCCUCCUCGUCGUCCUCCUCGUCUUCGCCGGCUAUGCCGGUUCCCACGCCGGCAGCAUCGCCGUGUACUGGGGCCAGAACGGCAACGAGGGCGGCCUUGCCGACACCUGCAACACCGGCAUCUACUCGUACGUGAUGCUGGCUUUCCUCACCACCUUCGGCAACGGGCAAACCCCCGUCCUCAACCUGGCGGGCCACUGCGACCCCCCCUCCGGCACCUGCACCGGCCUCAGCUCCGACAUCCGCGCCUGCCAGUCCCAGGGCAUCAAGGUGCUCCUCUCCCUCGGUGGCGACUCCAGCAGCUACUCCCUGUCCUCCUCCGACGACGCCGCGAGCGUGGCGACGUAUCUGUGGGCCAACUACCUCGGCGGCUCGUCCAGUUCGCGCCCGCUGGGUGACGCCGUCCUCGACGGCAUCGACUUCGACAUCCAGCAUGGCGGCCCCGACCACUACAACGAGCUGGCGAAGCAGCUCUCCGACUUGGGCGGCCAGGCUGGGACCAAGGUGUACCUCUCGGCGGCGCCGCAGUGCCCCUACCCGGACCAGUCCUUGGGGAACGCGCUGCAGACGGGGCUCUUCGACUACGUGUGGGUGCAGUUCUACAACAACCCCAGCUGCGACUACUCGUCGGGGGUCAGCGGCCUGAGCAGCGCAUGGGGGACGUGGACGUCGAGCUUGUCGUCAUCGACCGUCUUCCUGGGGCUGCCGGCCUCGCAGGACGCGGCCGGGAGCGGGUACAUCCCGCCCGACGUCCUCACCUCCCAGGUGCUGCCGGCGAUCAAGACUGCGUCCAACUACGGCGGCAUCAUGCUGUGGAGCAGAUACUACGAUCUCAACAGCGGGUACAGCGCUGCCGUGAGGAACAGUGUUUGAGAUGGCGAUGUACUCACUACCAUAUGUGUGCUUCCGAUUACGAGGUCAUGAAUAAGGCGGGACAGUGAUAGAAAGGUGUUCCAGAUUGAUGUGACGAUGCGUCCCAAUAAAAUAAAGAUUGCGUGUUUUUAUGGAGGCAUUGAGGUGGUCAGAGUAAUAAAUAAUACAUAAGUGAUAUAUCUUAAAUUUAAAUUUAGAUGUGAGCAUCAUAUUUGAGUACACGAGUAUCAUGUCCGUUAUUUAUAGUACUAUUUUUUUUUAUUUUAUAAAAAUAAAAAAAUAUAUAAAGUAUGCUUGACACGUGAAAUAAUUAAAAUAAACCCAUAGACGGACCAAGAAAGGUGGUGUAUCGAUGACAAUUGAUGCAAAUAACAAAUUCAGCAAAUAUUCAUGAAUUGAUGAUGGCUUCGUUAAUUAAGAGACAAGUUUGCAUAUUAUAAACAAGCUGGUUUUUCUCGUUUCUAAUAAAAACAUUCUAUAGGCUGAUCGCAUUGAAAUAAACUUUAUCUUAUAAACAAUGGAAUUAUAUUUUUAAUUAUUUGUUCUGUAAGCUCUUCUUCAUAUAUUCGUUUCUUUGAUCAUGCAAGACGUAGUUUGGUCGGAGAUGACGUACUUUGUCCGCAAAGAAGAAACUCGAGGAUGUGUAGGCCUUCCUUCACCUUUAAAAAAAUGUUCUCGACAUAAUAAAAAUACUUCUAUUUUUAAUAAAGCAUUUUAUACGAGAAAGCUUUCACUAUUAGACUUUUAUUAAAUAGAAAUGAUGCUUCUCUAAUUGGUUUUUACACGAGACAUCCUUUGCCUCUAUCUCUUUGCCUUCGGUCAUUGAAUAUGACCUUUCUAACCAACAUGGAAUGUUGUCUAAUCAUAAUUCCUCAUGCGUUUCUUCCGAAUGGGCCAUAUGCCCCUAAUUUUUGAAUCGAUGUUCAUGUUGGGUUAGGGUCCGAAUAAAUUGAGGUUUACCCAACAAAAUAAUGACUCGUCUAAGUUUGGUCUGUUGCCGUGAAUGUUUCAUGCGACGAAUCAAUUGCAGUGGAUUUGCUUGAAGCUCACCAUAUAUGUUCUUGCUGUCAACCCAGUGCGACGCUCAUUAAUCCUAUAUUAUAGGAGUGAGAAUUAUAUUAUUCCCGGGGAGAUUAUCAUUACCAACGAUAUUGUUGUUUGCUGAGUGUUACAGUUUGAUCUUGUUUUUGAAGACGUAAGGUCAUUUGAGGAUCCCUCGUGGCUGUCUGUCUGGCGAGGGAGCUAGUGUGGCACCGAAGAAUCUGAGAUAGUUUCUAAGGAUUCGAGAUGGACUUCGAUCUUCCCAGGUUCCUGCACAAAGGUUAGUGUCGGGCGGAGUUUCCCGACCUGACUUCUCCGAUGUUCAAAUUAGUUUUGUGGAGUUGUGUGAGGUAUAAAGGGUUUUUGUGAAAAGAGGUCCGACCCUUGGGCAAGCGUCGGGGGUUGGCUUUUAUACCUGGGCGAUCAAGGAGAUCGUUUGUUAAUAUUAUAAUGCCCUCCGCAUAGCAUUUUGUCCAUGUGAAUGAGAGGCCCGAGCGAUCCUCUACAGGUUAUCGUCUACAAAGGCCAACUGAGUGGGGAUAUAUCAGAAGGAUCACCCGGAGACCACUAUUCUUGGUGAUCGACAAAAUUAAUCGGAACGAUCUCCCGUGAACUAUUAUCUAUGAGGGCCGCCAAGUGCCCCACGAUGCUAUCGAGUUGGGAGGUGAUUUACCCUUACCUUCCAUGUCGACAUCUCGGUGGCGAUCAACUAUAAAGCUAGUUUUGUCAAAAUAUUUCCUAUUAGAUAUAUGAACCUGAUGUAAGAUGGGAACCUUUAACUCUAUCGAUAUUUCAUUAUCAUGAACUUACCUUAAUUUAUCUAAACCGUAUAUCACAUUCAUGCAAAGAGUUAAUCUUUCAAUGUGAAAAAAUAGAUAGUGACAUGUGAAUGCACUAUAAUAGUGACUUGGCUUAAAGCAUAAACUAAGAUUGCACUAGCAUCAUCGAAUAAAAUAAUUUAGUGGCAUGCUUUCACUUAUGCUCGAUAGCUUCUUGUUUUCUUUACUAGAACAAAAAUACAUUGCUUUAAAAGUAGCUUCAAGUAGGAAUUGAACUGCUUUAGUAGCUUCAUGUUCGAUCUUAUACAAUGUAUAGACUUGGAGAAAGAAAAACGAGGAUGAUGCAAGCCAAAAUUAACGAACUUUAAAUGAAUAGUCUAAGACAUGAGAGAAUAAAUGAGUUAGAGACCGGCGAAGCACCAUUAAGUGAUGAGAUAAAAAGAGAAUUUUGUAUACGAACAAAUAAAUCAUAACACGUAGCAGAAUUAAAUGAAAAUCAUAGUCAAAUAUAAUAUCAAAAUUUACGUAAAAAAUCUCUCCAACACGAAGGGUAAAAACCAUAGGGUAAGCAAGAGAAAAUCUACUAUAAAAAUAAUGAAUAUACAAAUCUCAGAGUCUUUUGCCCAAAACCCAAGCAACAAUCACAAGAGAAUAACUAUGAUAUAAGGAUUACGUCAUUGUGCAUAAUAUCUAAAAUCUCCUCAAGUGAUCACAACAAGAAUCUACAAUAAAUCUGAUCUAAUAUGAUAUUAUAAUACUUCUUGGAUGAUUGAGAAUAGUCUCUAUAUUGUCCUUGUCUUCUUUCCUUUCCUUCUUCUCUUGUUUUUCUUUCCUCAACUAUCACUGCUGCUUCUCUCUUUUUUACAACCAUCGCUGCCCUCUUUUUUUGCCCUAGAAACCAUACUUCUUGGUUAAAAGAGAAAAGAGUUAAGAUUAAAGUGGGCUGUGAAUAAUUAAAGCCUACUAUGAGUUGAAUAAUGAGUCAUUUGCCCAACAAUCUUCCUCUUCAGCCCAUAAGGGAGGUUGUCUCAUGACUCCUCAAUGUGAAAUCAUACCGACAAACUAUUGGUAAUCUUUUGCCUUUAUUUUGGUAAGGUCUUUAUCAACAUAUUUGCUCUAUUACCAUCUGUAUGAAUUUUCUAAAGUUGUAACUGCUUCUCUUCAAGUAUAUUUCGAAUCCAAUGGUAUCUGACAUCUAUAUGCUUUGACUUGGAUUGAAAAGUUGUGUUCUUACACAAAUAGAUGACGCUAUGACUUUCACAAUACACUACAUAGUUUUUUUUUUUUCGGUCAUAAUUUUUGUAAGAAUUUUUUUAUCCAUAAUAUUUCUUUGCAAACCUCUAUAGUAGUAAUAUAUUCUGCCUCUAUGGCGGAGAGAGCAAUAUACCUUUGCAAUCUGGAUUGCCACGACACAACUCCCCUUGUAAAAGUAAGUACAAAACCUAAUGUAUACUUCAUUGUAUCAAUAUCUAUUGUCGUAUCUGCAUCUGUGUAACCUGUCAAUAUAGAUGGUCCACCUCCAAAGCUUAAAAAAAAUAAUGACUCAUCUAAGUCUGGAUUGUUGCCAUGAAUGUAUCAUGCAACAAAUCAAUUGCAUUAGGUUUGCUCGAAGCCCACCAUAUAUGUUGCUUGAUGUUAGCCCAGUGCAACACUCAUUCAUCCUAAAUUAUAGGUGUGAGAAUUAUAUUAUUCCUCAUGAGAUUGUCAUUAUCAAUUAUAUUGUUGUUGCCUGAGUGUUGUCAAUUGAUAGUCGGUAUGAUUUGGUCUCAUUCUAAAGUUGCAAGGUCAUCCGAGGAUCCCUCGUGGUUGUCUAGCGAGGUGGUUGGUGUGGUGUCGAUGAAUCUAAGGUAGUUUCUGAGGAUCUAGGAUAGACUUUGGUUUUCUUAGUGGGUUUAUGCACAAAGGUUAAUAUCGGGGGGAGUUUCCCGACCCGACUCGAUCUCUCUGAUGUUCAAAUUAGCUUUGUGAAGUUGCGUGGGGUAUAAAGGAUUUUCUUAAAGAGAAGUCCGACCCUUGGACAGCCAUCAGGGGUUGACUUUUAAACCUAGGCGAUCGAGGGGAUCGUUUGUAACUGUUGUAAUGCCCUCCACAUAGCAUUUUGUCCAUGUGAGCGAUAGGCUCGAAUGACCUUUUGCGGGUUGUCGUCCACAAAGGCCGAUUGAGUGGGACAUACCUGAAGGAUCACCCGGGGAUCACCAUCUUUAGUGACCGACAUGAUUUUCCCAAACGACCUCCCGUAUACUAUUGUCCAUAGGAGUUGAUAGGUGCCCCACGAUGGGGUGACAAACCUGACGAUGGAGGCUUGAAUAGCUUGGAGGAUGAGAUGAUCUUGGGGUAAUCAUAGUUUAUGGGCUGGAUUUAGUACUAGACUAGGGUCUUCUAGGAUAUUGAUAAUUGUGAUGGACAAUGAAGAGAGCUAUUGACACAGUCUCGUAGAUCGUAUCCAAAUAGGAGAUUAGAAAAUUAUGCACGUCAAGAUGUGUAGUUGUCAUCUUUAGAUAAUUUAAAAGGGAUGAGUGUUACUUGAUGGUGAUAAGACAUAUGUUGAGAAGUGAUAUAUUCCCUGAGGGGAUAAUAACUAGAGCGUUAGAGGUAGAUGAUAAAGAUAUUUUGAGGAUAGGUAUAUGAGAGAGUAAGGGAGUUGUCAGCUGUAGAAGGAGAGUGGAAGAUGGCUCCAAUGAGGAUCGUAGUGAUUGCUGCAGCAGGUUGAGGUAUCUUCUUCUUCGCCCCUCUAGGAGGUCUCAGAUCCUUAGACAGAGAUAUUUAUCGAAGGAGGCAUUUGGGCGAGCAGAUCUUAAUGGGCUGAAGGUGCGGCCUGGAGGAGCAGUUCUAAUGGCGAAAGGAGAAGUUGAAGGAAGUUUGUUUCUGGAGCGAUUGGGUCUCGAUCGAGGAAAUCUCGCUGAUCAGUUGAGGGAAUUCCUUUCUUCUAACAUGUAUAAAUAGACAUUGUAUUCAACUAAUUGAAGAGUGCUUUGUCAUUACAUUUCAUUUUCUCAUGCUAUCAGAGUUGUAGUGAGCGAACGCUAGCGCAGAGCGACAGAGGGAGAAGAUAGACAGUCGUUGUUCGUUUAGGAGGAAAUCAGUGAUCUGAUCAACAAUCACUAAAGGUGGCAGCACCUGCGCUUCCUUUGGGAGCAUCGUCCGUGGUGAAGAGAGAAGAAAUAGGGAUGCUACACUAAAGGGAAGGGAUCGCCUUGCGCACGAACGCAGAUCAUCAGUCGUCGGUCGCCUUGCACUUGCUUGGGAGGUGGAGACCUUUGACAGGAGAUGUGGCACUUGCGUUUGGAGUAGCAGAGGCAACAACAAGAGCAGAUUCUCGAGUAAGUGACGCAAGCUUCCAUGAUCUUGAUGUCGGUGUAGCAAGAGGAGGCACUCCUCGUGCGCAGCUUGCAAUCUACAAGGUGUGCUGGGGUGCGCGGCUAGCAAUCUACAAGGUGUGCUGGGAUGUCAGGUUUGAGGAUGCUUGGAGUGGCAAAAUUUUGUCCUCUCGAUGAGAAGUAUGCAACAGAAGGCACCGGUGAGCAGCUGAACCGGUGCCGGGUGGUGGGCUCGAAAGGUGCGGGCGUUGGCUUUGCGCUUGCCACCGUUCUCCUCAAAGGCUACACGGAGGCGACCAAUGAGGGCGUCAGGGAGAGCUUUUCUGCCGGAUGAAGAGCCUUGAGGGAGGAAGAAGUGGCAGUAUAAGUUGCCUCAUCUAGACGACCAAGACACACAAUGGAAGCCACCUCGUCUAGGCGACCGGGACCGAUGAUUCGUUGAUGGAGAGGAAGGUAUAGUAGCAGACAAGGUGGAUACGGAGGAUCUCGUUGAUCUACUCCUCAUUGGCCUCGCAAGCAUGAUGUUGUCAUGCUAGUGGCGAUACUGAUAGAAGGUGAGUUAGCUAUCGCUGAACAUCGAGGAAGAGAAGAGAAAUCUUGCUAUAACGCAAGGGCUCUGAUACUGAUAAAAUGAAAUGUAAUGAUAAAGUACACUUCAAUUAGUUGAAUACAAUAUCUAUUUAUACAUGUAAGAAGAGAGGAUUUAUCUGAUCAGUAAAAUUUUCUCGUAUAGUUGAAGAAAUCUUAUCUGUUAUGAGGAUCUUCUAAUAUGUAUAGACUUUAGACGAUGAGAUGAUCUUCUAAUAGAAAGAAAAAUGAGGAUGAUGUGAACUUUAUAUGAAUAGAAUAAGACAUGGAAGAAUAAAUGGGAUGGAGAUUGACGAAAUCUUCACUUGGAUUACCAUCUUAUUCUAAAGACUUGAGCUGGAGGAAAAGGGUCCCAAACCUAACGACACAAUGUCGAUGCCUAUACGUAUUCUCCUCCGUAGAUCAUGACCCACUACCAACUCUUGACCGUGUUGUUCUUGACGAGGACUAGUCAUCAACGAAGCUCCGAGGUCACCCUAAUAUUUUAAGAAGGUUCAGAUGACCUGGGAGACUUCCAUCUCUCUCUGUUUGUGUUGGAAUUCUAAUGUAAACCCUUAUGCCAGGAUUAAUACUUAUAAUAAACCUUACACGAAGUUGGCUCUUUCCUAAUCGCUUAAGGUUUUGAGACUAACUGUAUCUCAAUCAAAAUUCGUAUCGUGAUAUUAAAAUAUAUUCGAGUGUGAAAUUUACAGUCAUAGAGCAAAGAUGAUGAUCCUCGUGAGUUUCUUUGGUCUUAGCUUAGUGGCGAGGAGUCACAAUCGAUUAGGAAAUCCGCUAAGCUGGCGCCGGCCAUUAAUUGACUCAUCGAUGGUGCGUCGACUAUGGAGAAAGACUAACAAGUUCGUGGUCGUUCCCAUGACGCAGCGGAAACCGUGUGCAAGCAGGGUUGAAGAAGGCGAACACGUCUUUCUUCCCCCAUUAAUUUCGCUCACCGCAUGUUGCAAGCCAAAGCUCAAAGGGCUUUACAUGAACAGAGUAUGGCAUUGAAGAAUUAAAGGUGUGGCGAUUAAUAUACUCCAUUAACCUUUUUGUGCUAACUUAGGUUCUGAUGGUGUGACAUGUGAGUAAGGUUCGGAGCCAAUCAAUGUUUACUUUUGACUCCGUCUCAGUCCGAGAUGUUGGGUAGCUGUUAAAGUCAGAUUUGUCGAGUCGAUUGCCUCGGCUAGUCGCUGGUGCAUCGUUUGACUAUGAACACCAACGUCAGCAUUUUCGCCUCCGUCGUUGUCCUUGUCCCACCGCCACCUCUAGGCUGAGUUGUUCCUUGCGAAGACUCGGUCGCAGGACCUUCUCGUAGUUCCCACCGGGGAGACUGACUUCACUUCCAUCCUUCUCUACGUGUUGGAAUUAUACAUCGGAUGCUCAUGCUUCAUUGCGAGGAUGAAUACUGACAAACCGAACACAUCGGCUGCGGUUGUUUAGGAUGAUGACGACCCAUUCAUUCCCAGCAGCCUCAUCUGCACGAGACUUCCUCGGAGUUUCCCUUCUGCAUUACGUCAAUGAAUUCAGUCUCAAAAUCAGUUCAAGAGUACCGGCAUACGCAUUAGAUAGAUCGAAUAGAGUCGGAUGCCCGAAAAGAAUCGAUCUACCGCCAUCCUUAUCUCUGUCCUUGACGAUGUUUGCACAGAGACGACUCGAUCCCUCACAAGUCGACUGUCUCAGUUGGUCGCUGGUGCAUCGACCAUAGAGGAAGACCAAAUAAAUGAAGGCGUGAAUGAGGCGGUGGCAACCGUACGCGAAGCAGACUCGAAGAAGUCUGCUCGCGGCGGAGCGCGCCACAGAAAUAUAAUAGAUUGUAAGAUUUUAUAUACUUCGAGGAUACGUUUCUUCUCAUGCUUAACCUCAAAGAAAGCUGGAAAUCACUUAAGCACAUGAGUUACAAAAAAACACUACAGCAAUACAAAUAAAUUAUACGAUGCAAAGAUGAUGAGUAGAUGAGCGCCUCUUCUAAGAGUCAUCCAACAGUUAGUCAAAGUCUUCAUGUCUUCAUCCCAAAGCGCAGCCUCCCCCUGUCAUCUCCUCUUCUCUGGUGCAGGUCCCAUCCCACCCUCCUUCCCUAUAUAACAUGAACGAGGCCUUCGCCAAUCGUCACAGGCAAUUCACCAUGGCCUCCCGUAACCUCUCCUCCCUCCUCCUCGUCGCCCUCCUCGUCUUCGCCUUCUCUGCCGGCUCCCACGCCGGCAGCAUCGCCGUGUACUGGGGCCAGAACGGCAACGAGGGCGGCCUUGCCGACACCUGCAACUCCGGCAUCUACUCGUACGUGAUGCUGGCUUUCCUCACCACCUUCGGCAACGGGCAAACCCCCGUCCUCAACCUGGCGGGCCACUGCGACCCCCCCUCCGGCACCUGCACCGGCCUCAGCUCCGACAUCCGCGCCUGCCAGUCUCAGGGCAUCAAGGUGCUCCUCUCCCUCGGUGGCGACUCCAGCAGCUACUCCCUGUCCUCCUCCGACGACGCCGCGAGCGUGGCGACGUAUCUGUGGGACAACUAC
rnacentral:lncRNA from 1 species